rnacentral:rRNA from 1 species
UACGGAGGAUCCGAGCGUUAUCCGGAUUUAUUGGGUUUAAAGGGUGCGCAGGCGGAAGAUUAAGUCGGCGGUGAAAUUUUGCAGCUCAACUGUAAAAGUGCCUUCGAAACUGGUUUCCUUGAGUGUAGAUGAAGUAGGCGGAAUUUGUGGUGUAGCGGUGAAAUGCAUAGAUAUCACGAGGAACUCCGAUUGCGCAGGCAGCUUACUAAACCAUAACUGACGCUCAGGCACGAAGGCGUGGGGAUCAAACAGGAUUAGAUACUCGGGUA